GACGAACGCUGGCGGCGUGCUUAACACAUGCAAGUCGAACGGAAAGGCCUCUUUCGGGGGGUACUCGAGUGGCGAACGGGUGAGUAACACGUGAGUAACCUGCCCUUGACUUUGGGAUAACUUCAGGCAACUGGGGCUAAUACCGGAUAGGAGCUCCUGCUGCAUGGUGGGGGUUGGAAAGUUUCGGCGGUUGGGGAUGGACUCGCGGCUUAUCAGCUUGUUGGUGGGGUAGUGGCUUACCAAGGCUUUGACGGGUAGCCGGCCUGAGAGGGUGAGCGGCCACAUUGGGACUGAGAGGCGGCCCAGACUCCUACGGGAGGCAGCAGUGGGGAAUAUUGCACAAUGGGUGGAAGCCUGAUGCAGCAACGCCGUGUGCGGGAUGACGGCCUUCGGGUUGUAAACCGCUUUCGCUCAUGACGAAGCUUUGUGUGACGGUAGUGGGUAAAGAAGCACCGGCUAACUACGUG
rnacentral:rRNA from 1 species